AUGCCCACAUCGCCGUCACCCUCCCGCUCCUCUUCCUCCUCAGGAUCAACGGCGGGGGUGCUGGGAGGGGGAGGGGCGGAUGGGCCCUUCUUCGAGCCGUACAACCAUUGCAGAGCAGAGCAGGAAGCUCAUCUCCGAGGUGAGGAUUUACCGCAGCCGCUGCAGUUAAAUGCAUCUAGUUCAUCCUCUGUAGUCUAUAUUCUGCUCUUCUCACCUCACCUUCGGUUAAAUGCAUUUGGUCAUGGAUAUGAUUCAGAGCAUCAAAUUCACAAGCAUGAUGGAUGGAGGGAUCUGUCAAAUGGUGCGGCUCCUUGUGCUACAAUGACAUUGACAUGCCGGCCUCCCACACGCAGAUAG
rnacentral:rRNA from 1 species